UUAACUAUUAUAUAGUACUCAGACGACACUAAUAUUCAGAGUUUGGGGUCCUCUGGCGGGCACUCACCAGCCGAAGCCGGUAGCCGAAGCGGCCCGCCAAAGCAACAAAGGUAUAAUAUUCAAGGGUGGGAGAUCUACCCGUGAGGGCAUGAACUCUGUAAUGAUCCUUCCGCAGGUUCACCUACGGAAA
rnacentral:misc_RNA from 1 species